AACCUCCGCAAUGUGAGAAAUCGCGACGGGGGGAUCCCAAGUGCCAUUCUUAACGGGAUGGCUUUUCAUUAGUGUAAAGAGCUUUUGGAAUAAGAGCUGGGCAAGACCGGUGCCAGCCGCCGCGGUAACACCGGCAGCUCUAGUGGUAACAAUUUUUAUUGGGCCUAAAGCGUCCGUAGCUGGUUUAAUAAGUCUCUGGUGAAAUCCUGUAGCUUAACUGUGGGAAUUGCUGGAGAUACUAUUAGACUUGAGACCGGGAGAGGUUAGAGGUACUCCCAGGGUAGAGGUGAAAUUCUGUAAUCCUGGGAGGACCGCCUGUUGCGAAGGCGUCUAACUGGAACGGUUCUGACGGUGAGGGACGAAAGUUAGGGGCGCGAACCGGAUUUAGAUACCCGGGUAGUCCUAACUGUAAACGAUGCGGACUUGGUGUUGGGGUGGCUUUGAGCUGCUCCAGUGCCGAAGGGAGCUGUUAAGUCCGCCGCCUGGGAAGUACGGUCGCAAGACUGAAACUUAAAGGAAUU
rnacentral:rRNA from 1 species